GAUGAAGAACGUAGCGAAAUGCGAUAAGUAGUGUGAAUUGCAGAAUUCAGUGAAUCAUCGAAUCUUUGAACGCACAUUGCGCCCCUUGGUAUUCCAUGGGGUAUGCCUGUUCGAGCGUCAUUUGUACCUUCAAGCUUUGCUUGGUGUUGGGUGUUUGUCCCUCGGGACUCGCCUUAAAGUCAUUGGCAGCCAGUGUUUUGGUUUUGAAGCGCAGCACAAGUCGCGAUUCAAGGCUAUCCGCCCGCUUCCACAAGCCUUUUUCACUUUUGACCUCGGAUCAGGUAGGGAUACCCGCUGAACUUAAGCAUAUCAAUAAGCGGAGGA
rnacentral:misc_RNA from 1 species